GGAGGCGCAGGCUCGGAAAGGCG
rnacentral:miRNA from 1 species